rnacentral:rRNA from 1 species
CAGCAGCCACGGGAAUACGGAGGGGGCUAGCGUUGUUCGGAAUUACUGGGCGUAAAGCGCACGUAGGCGGCUUGUAAGUUAGAGGUGAAAGCCUGGAGCUCAACUCCAGAAUUGCCUUUAAGACUGCCGAGCUAGCAGGUGAGAGAGGUAAGUGGAAUUCCGAGUGUAGAGGUGAAAUUCGUAGAUAUUCGGAAGAACACCAGUGGCGAAGGCGGCUUACUGGCUCAUACUGGACGCUGAGGUGCGAAAGCGUGGGGAGCAAACAGGAUUAGAUACCCCCGUAGUCCCUGUCUCUUAUACA